GAUGAGCGCUGGCGGCGUGCUUAACACAUGCAAGUCGAACGGAAAGGCUCCUGCUUGCAGGGGUACUCGAGUGGCGAACGGGUGAGUAACACGUGGGUGAUCUGCCCUGCACUUCGGGAUAAGCCUGGGAAACUGGGUCUAAUACCGGAUAGGACGAUGGUUUGGAUGCCAUUGUGGAAAGUUUUUCGGUGUGGGAUGAGCUCGCGGCCUAUCAGCUUGUUGGUGGGGUAAUGGCCUACCAAGGCGUCGACGGGUAGCCGGCCUGAGAGGGUGUACGGCCACAUUGGGACUGAGGUACGGCCCAGACUCCUACGGGAGGCAGCAGUGGGGAAUAUUGCACAAUGGGCGCAAGCCUGAUGCAGCGACGCCGCGUGGGGGAUGACGGCCUUCGGGUUGUAAACUCCUUUCGCUAGGGACGAAGCGCAAGUGACGGUACCUGGAGAAGAAGCACCGGCUAACUACGUG
rnacentral:rRNA from 1 species